UCGGAUCAUCCCGAAACCGUGCGGUGGUAAGCUCAUCUCUUGAAGCAAUGUGGAUUGAUCUUCGUAUCCAGGACUGGAAUCGGACUUUUGGCCUUUGAGGUUCACCUUCUUCUUGAAAACUCGGCAUACCACCCAGCCAUCCUGGUCCUGCUGCAUGGAAACAAGAGAGAAAAAAAAGGAAAGAAGGUUUGAGCACAGGAGUCUCUAUGGAUGAUUGCUUACACAGUGCUAUCACACUUACAGGACUGUUAGUGAUGCUGCUUUGCUCGUCCUCGAGGCGGUACUCGUGCAUUAUCCAGUCGGUUUUCUGGCCGUUUGGAGCUC
rnacentral:lncRNA from 1 species